GCAAUGGUUGAUGCCGCCUGUGUCGGAUCAGUUUAAGACAAGCUUUCAGUUUCGUUGGUAUACUAACGUAAGACACGAGUGUGAUCAUUAUCGAAUCAAUUACCACCAGCAGAUGCGAGGAGAGGCCACUGGGGUGUUUAGGUGAGGAUCCAUUCAAUCAAAUUGAUGAAAAUAUGGAGUAAGAAGUGAGGUAGGCUGAAUUUGCAGGCCCAUCUAACUUUCAUCUUUUGUCGAAGUGCCAAAGAAAAAGAAAGGUUACAGCUACGUGAUUAUCAGCACGGUGAUUUUUAGCGACACAAGGCGUGACUGCUUAACCCAACACAGUACUCAUUAGCCAGUUGAGAUUGCUCUAGCAUCUUCUGAUGAACAAGACGUCUGUUGCCUGUAUUCAAUGUACCUAUAUGAGCAGAACAAUCCGAACCUACAUGGAUCAAGUAGACCUAUGCGGAACCCAUCAAAUUCAAAGGUGUUUUUAAUACAAUGGAUUCAUAUGCAUACUGGUUUAGUAAGGGGAGUAUAUACAACUAUAUAGCAAGCUACAAUGCUGAUGCCCGGAGUUUAUUUUUGGGUAUUGCAGCUAUUUCUAGAUAGAGUUUUCUCUUUGGGCUAACUCAUAUGUUUGUUAGAAACAUUGGGAAGGACGGUUAUCAAUCAACAUCGGUUAGCAUGCCCGGUUAAAUUAAUAGAGUUGUUGAACGUGACUGUCAUUUAAUCAGCUUUCUAGCUCCUUACACUUCAGUUUUGCAAGAGACGAGUGCUUUUUAUCAGCGGGGGCAACAGGGAGACAAAAAAACAUUCAGUGGGGGCAACAAAAAGGAAGCAUCAAGCAUUCGAAGCAUGAAUUUGGUAAUUUUGUGUAACAGGAGACGUGUUCUAAUAGCUUGAUUCAUCGUGUAUGAAAUGCAUGCGUUCAUUCAGUAAGGCAGGAAACAAUAAAGCUGUACCUUAAUCCAUAACCUCAAGCUUUUAAAGAGAUUGCAGUAGGUGGGAAUCUUCUGAAUUUCAUCGCGUUGUGUUCCUUAUUUGCCUUCAUUUUUUCGUAGAAUUGAUCCGGUAAUUACGUCCUCCUUUCGGCUAUAUUGAAAAUUUGCUUAAAGAUCGUCCGGCGAUGAAAGUUCGACCAGGGCAGACGCGGGAUUUGAAGCUUUGGAAACAAAGAGGCCACUUGUUUGCUUUGCUUCAAAUAGCCAAUUAUAUAUGAAUACACCAGGUCAGCCGAACAACUUCAUUGAAGAUGUGGUGGUCUUAUGUAUAGGGAAAGAAGAGCCAACCAAGCAAAGUCCUAGCAACUCAUCUAAGCCAUUGGCAAUUUAUUUUGCUCUCCUGAGCUAGUUGUAAAUUGAGAGGCCAAGAGAAUCAACUCAUCUAAGCCACUGACUUCAUCUUAUCCAUAUGGAUAAUCAUAUUGUGCCUUACCUACAUCUUAGGUCGGAGCUUCAAGCUUGGCCAGUCCCUGGAAGACUCUGGAUUGGACAUUUACUAGGGAGAUACAUCAGACAGAGUGCAAGUUUGAUAGACCUGCAUCAGUGUGGUGUACCGAAUUAUACCAAGCCACUAACUCUUCUACAUGGAUAUUAAGUGAAAAUGAAGUCCGUUGAAGAUCUGAAGCAGAGCCACAGAAACAACAGUUGAGGUGGCUAACCACGGGUUUCUUGAUCUCUCACUGCGAUUGCUCUUUGUUUGAGCGCUUGAUCCUGAGGUACCAUCAGUGGAAUUCCCCUCAGCUGCAACCAAAAACACCAGGAAGACGUGUGGAGAACAUUUCUAUGGAGGAAAACUUCAUGUAGUUCAUGCUGCUAAAAACUAGAAGAAUGUAAGGAUCGUUACCACUGGGGAGUUUGGUGCUAUUUCUCUUCUCAAGGCUUUUCUCAAAUCCGUCAAACACCUCAGCAUCUGUGGAGUUCGGAGCAAGGUGCAGAAGAUCUGAAUUUAUGCACAUGUUUAGAAAUAACGGACUAAAGAGGCGAAAAUUGGACAACUUUUACUACAAAAACUGGGUAUGCCGAGUUUGUUCUGGAGACUGUUAGUAUAAACUCAUGCAACUUCUUUCGGAAGCCGCCUAUGCCUUAAACCAGCCAAAGUUGCUUAACAUCCAGUGCAUCUACUUCAUGGUACAUACUUCAAAGUUCUGAUAUUUUGGCUAUUCAUUUUGCAAUGAGCAAGAAAGACUUUCUCAGAACUAAAUUCUGCAAAGCGCAGAGAUUUGCCUAUUCAUUUUGCGAUUAACACGAGAGACUUUCUCAAAACUAACUUACCAAUGCACUGAGAAAUGUUGACAGGUGCAUGGCAAGAGGUGGGAAGGCUGAGUGCAAGGGUAAUAUUGAACUUGAUCCCAAGACUGGGAUUAUUCCUGUCCUUGACAAGAAUGCAAAGGCAUUUUAAGCUCUUUUGGAGGACCUGUUUCAGCCCAGAACAACAAUCUGGUGUCGGAGCUCUUGCGUCGCCGCCGACGUAAGGAAGGCAUGUGGCGAGACCCACCAGUUGAUCAGCACACUCUGCUCUGUCAUGGGCGUAGUCUGAAUUCGACAAGCCAAGCAACAGCAUCAGCAUCAACAUGCCUAAUGGGACUGCAAUACCCAUGCUUCUUGAUUCCAUUGAGGAAGCUAAAGGUGUCUUUGUCCUUAUAUAUUGUCUGGCUUCUUCUCAGGUGUAACUCUUGCAAGUCAGAAUCUUGGAGGAUGAAGUGAGCAGUCGAAAUAAAUGUAGGAGGAGUUCAAUUCACUGUGAUUGCAUGACAAGAGGACGAUUUUGCCCGCCUGGCUGGGUAAUUAUGAAGGAAAACGACCCAUCUGAUUUCUUUACUUGGAUUUGAUAGAAAUCCAAGGAAUCUCCUAAAAUAAUACAGCUUCUUCAUAACACAAUCUUAUCCAGUAUCAAGCCCGGACAGAUACUGUAUUCUUUAUGGGGUGAGCAACUCAAGUCCUUGGGAAUGCAAACAAUGCAAAACAGGGUUCUAAGCUACUCUGAUCAUAAACCAUUAAAACUUGCAAUAUCACCGAAUCUAGCGACAAUUGUUAGUACCAGAGCAGGGUUUUGCAAGAUGCAAAUAUUGUCCUUCAUAAGUUGCAAGGUGUGAAUUAGUUCUUUUUGUC